rnacentral:tRNA from 1 species
UGGCAGAGUGGUUAAGCAUUUGGCUGCUAACCAAAACGUCGGUGGUUCGAAUCCACA